UACGGAGGGUGCAAGCGUUAUCCGGAUUUAUUGGGUUUAAAGGGUGCGUAGGUGGUUCUUUAAGUCAGGGGUGAAAGACGGCAGCUUAACUGUCGCAGUGCCUUUGAUACUGAAGAACUUGAAUACACUAGAGGUAGGCGGAAUGUGACAAGUAGCGGUGAAAUGCAUAGAUAUGUCACAGAACACCAAUUGCGAAGGCAGCUUACUAUGGUGUCAUUGACACUGAGGCACGAAAGCGUGGGGAUCAAACAGG
rnacentral:rRNA from 1 species